ensembl:lncRNA
UGUGUGUGUGUGUGUGUAUGAGUGGGUGUAUUUAUGGUAGGUCCUUCUCUAGUACGCUGGAGUCGGUGCCAACUCCAGAAGGCUUACAUUACAGAGGGAUCCACCGACACACACACACACACACACACACACACACACACGCACACACACACACACAGACCAGGCCAUAUGAGGUCUUUCAGCUGCUCCCUGUGUGACAUCACCCUGCGUCCCGGCAUGGAGGUUCAUCUUACUAGGCACCAAGACACACACCUCCUUCAGAGCUUCUUCAGCAGCCCCGGUGGUUCAGAGCCCACACAGGCAGCGGAGACAAAGACACGAAGCACGACAAAGCAGGCAACGCGCCUCAUUUCCUCGCCGGGGCGCUUCCUCCCGCUUCCAAACGCCGAGAGCAGCCGGGUUCAGAUGCGUCCUUCCCUGCCACCCGCUCAGCAGUGCCACUGGUCGCCAAGGCGAUGGGGUAGCCAUGUUUGGGUGUGUGUACGCCGUCUAAUCAGAACCAGAGAGGGGACAGCCGAGGUCCUUAUUGGAAAAUAAGAUGCACUUCCUGGCAUCAGGGUGUGACUCAUGGUGGACGGGCUACACAUCAUUUUACUAGCUGUUUUAAUGGGAAAAUUACCCAGCAGUAAACAAGCUGUCCUCAGUUUCAGCCGAGCUUUGCUGUCUGAUCACCAUUUAUUUCUCAAAAAGUUUUACUGUCUUGAAAAAGGUCGUUGGUUGUUUUUCGUGACAGGGAGACUUUCAUAGAUGCCUGUGUUAAAAGUCUGUCAAAAGUCUAAAUUGUGUUCUGAGUUCCUCACACCUUAACUAAAUGUAUCACUGGCCAAUUAGCCUAAACUAAUCAGAAAUAUUCUCUGCCCUGAAAUUGAAGUGAAGUGAUUGUCACACAGUGCACACAACACACAGUGCACACAGUGAAAUUUGUCCUCUGCAUUUAACCCAUCACCCUUGGUGAGCAGUGGGCAGCCAUGACAGGCGCCCGGGGAGCAGUGUGUGGGGACGGUGCUUUGCUCUGUGGCACCUCAGUGGCACCUUGGCGGAUCGGGAUUUGAACCGGCAACCUUCUGAUUACAAGGCCGCUUCCUUAAACGCUAGGCCACCACUGGCCCUGCAACCUGAAAAAAAAAGAUUCUUCAUUUAGCAGCUUUAUUGAUCCAGCCAGAAUUUCAUUUAGCACCAGAGGACCAAGAGACCUACCUGACAAUCAACAUUGCUGAUGCACUUAGACUAUCAAUAAGCAACAGAACAAAACUCACUUCACCAGAUUUUAUUUGACAGUCGCAGUUCCACUUGCAAGAUGGAGGCGUAUACUUUCACUUUUACAGCAGGUGUAAUAAUGGAGCAGGAGAACUGAUGCUAAUAUGAUCUGGCUUUUACAGUGAUAAAAUGUUAUGGGCAGGGUCACGCUAAGUGGUUCCAGAAGACAAAAAUAAUACAAAAAAUGCUUUCCACUAAACCUACACAAGUAAGUAGAACAGAGGUCAUCAACCAUGUUUUCUGUAACAAAUUUCUAAAAUGUAUAAGGUGAUAUAAAAUUUUGACUUUUUAACUCAUGAUUCAUACCUCAUGAAAAUAUCCAACAUCUGAAAUGACCCCUCACCCCGUGUUGGAGCGGCUUUCCUAUGAGUUCUCCAGUUUCCUCCCCCAUCCAAAGGCAUAUAGGAAAUCCCGACACGGAAUUGUUCAUAUGUGUCCGUGUGUGUGUGUGUUCACACUUUGAUGGGCUGGAACCCUACUCUGCACCUUCUGAGCCUGAGUUGAUUGAUUGAAAAAGGCUACUAUAUAUGUGAAUUAAGACAUUAAUUACUGGGUUGUGAAUGUGGUUAUGUGAUUUUUCACGACUGCCUCUCCUCCCCUCCACCAGCAGUGGCUGCUGUUGACUCAGCGUUGCGCGCCGCCCGCCGUAGCCAUGUGUACAUGGCGAGCUGCACGUUGCCGCGGUGCUAAGCUCACGACUGGCCAUGCGCCAGACUGCUCAGCAGAUGCCUGCUGGCUGAAGUGAGCGGGUCCAGGUCAGAGCUGCCCGCCACCGGCUCACUCCCUCACUACAGAGAACGGGAGGAGAGGGAUGGAGGCAGACUACAUGAUGGGGAGUGAUGGGGAGGUAAUAAAAAUGGGAAAGAAGGGAGAGAAAAUAAAGGU